rnacentral:tRNA from 1 species
GGGAAUGUAGCUCAGUUGGUAGAGUGCUUGUCUAGCAUACAGAAGGCCCUGGGUUCAAUCCUCAGGACUGCCG